GAUAUGUGCCCGAAAAUUCAAGGAUCACUUUGAUAGAGUGAAUAUAUAUGAGUUUAAACCUCUUCAUAUCU
rnacentral:tRNA from 1 species